rnacentral:rRNA from 1 species
GUCGCAAGACCAAAGUGGGGGACCUUCGGGCCUCAUGCCAUCAGAUGUGCCCAGAUGGGAUUAGCUAGUAGGUGGGGUAACGGCUCACCUAGGCGACGAUCCCUAGCUGGUCUGAGAGGAUGACCAGCCACACUGGAACUGAGACACGGUCCAGACUCCUACGGGAGGCAGCAGUGGGGAAUAUUGCACAAUGGGCGCAAGCCUGAUGCAGCCAUGCCGCGUGUAUGAAGAAGGCCUUCGGGUUGUAAAGUACUUUCAGCGGGGAGGAAGGGAGUAAAGUUAAUACCUUUGCUCAUUGACGUUACCCGCAGAAGAAGCACCGGCUAACUCCGUGCCAGCAGCCGCGGUAAUACGGAGGGUGCAAGCGUUAAUCGGAAUUACUGGGCGUAAAGCGCACGCAGGCGGUCUGUCAAGUCGGAUGUGAAAUCCCCGGGCUCAACCUGGGAACUGCAUUCGAAACUGGCAGGCUAGAGUCUUGUAGAGGGGGGUAGAAUUCCAGGUGUAGCGGUGAAAUGCGUAGAGAUCUGGAGGAAUACCGGUGGCGAAGGCGGCCCCCUGGACAAAGACUGACGCUCAGGUGCGAAAGCGUGGGGAGCAAACAGGAUUAGAUACCCUGGUAGUCCACGCCGUAAACGAUGUCGAUUUGGAGGUUGUGCCCUUGAGGCGUGGCUUCCGGAGCUAACGCGUUAAAUCGACCGCCUGGGGAGUACGGCCGCAAGGUUAAAACUCAAAUGAAUUGACGGGGGCCCGCACAAGCGGUGGAGCAUGUGGUUUAAUUCGAUGCAACGCGAAGAACCUUACCUGGUCUUGACAUCCACAGAACUUUCCAGAGAUGGAUUGGUGCCUUCGGGAACUGUGAGACAGGUGCUGCAUGGCUGUCGUCAGCUCGUGUUGUGAAAUGUUGGGUUAAGUCCCGCAACGAGCGCAACCCUUAUCCUUUGUUGCCAGCGGUCCGGCCGGGAACUCAAAGGAGACUGCCAGUGAUAAACUGGAGGAAGGUGGGGAUGACGUCAAGUCAUCAUGGCCCUUACGACCAGGGCUACACACGUGCUACAAUGGCAUAUACAAAGAGAAGCGACCUCGCGAGAGCAAGCGGACCUCAUAAAGUAUGUCGUAGUCCGGAUUGGAGUCUGCAACUCGACUCCAUGAAGUCGGAAUCGCUAGUAAUCGUAGAUCAGAAUGCUACGGUGAAUACGUUCCCGGGCCUUGUACACACCGCCCGUCACACCAUGGGAGUGGGUUGCAAAAGAAGUAGGUAGCUUAACCUUCGGGAGGGCGCUUACCACUUUGUGAUUCAUGACUGGGGUGAAGUCGUAACAAGGUAACCGUAGGGGAACCUGCGGUUG